CCUACGGGGAGCAGCAGUGGGGAAUAUUGGGCAAUGGGCGCAAGCCUGACCCAGCAACGCCGCGUGAAGGAAGAAGGCUUUCGGGUUGUAAACUUCUUUUCUCAGGGACGAAACAAGUGACGGUACCUGAGGAAUAAGCCACGGCUAACUACGUGCCAGCAGCCGCGGUAAUACGUAGGUGGCAAGCGUUAUCCGGAUUUACUGGGUGGAAAGGGCGUGUAGGCGGGAAAGCAAGUCAGAUGUGAAAACCAUGGGCUCAACCUGUGGCCUGCAUUUGAAACUGUUUUUCUUGAGUACUGGAGAGGCAGACGGAAUUCCUAGUGUAGCGGUGAAAUGCGGAGAUAUUAGGAGGAACACCAGUGGCGAAGGCGGUCUGCUGGACAGCAACUGACGCUGAGGCGCGAAAGCGUGGGGAGCAAACAGGAUUAGAUACCCCAGUAGUC
rnacentral:rRNA from 1 species